AAAAAAUUAGUUAAACAAAAUAACAUUAGUAUGUCAAACUGAAAUUAUCAAUCCAUUGAUAUUUUUUG
rnacentral:tRNA from 1 species